rnacentral:rRNA from 1 species
UUAAUCGGAAUUACUGGGCGUAAAGCGCACGCAGGCGGUCUGUCAAGUCGGAUGUGAAAUCCCCGGGCUCAACCUGGGAACUGCAUUCGAAACUGGCAGGCUAGAGUCUUGUAGAGGGGGGUAGAAUUCCAGGUGUAGCGGUGAAAUGCGUAGAGAUCUGGAGGAAUACCGGUGGCGAAGGCGGCCCCCUGGACAAAGACUGACGCUCAGGUGCGAAAGCGUGGGGAGCAAACAGGAUUAGAUACCCUGGUAGUCCACGCCGUAAACGAUGUCGACUUGGAGGUUGUGCCCUUGAGGCGUGGCUUCCGGAGCUAACGCGUUAAGUCGACCGCCUGGGGAGUACGGCCGCAAGGUUAAAACUCAAAUGAAUUGACGGGGGCCCGCACAAGCGGUGGAGCAUGUGGUUUAAUUCGAUGCAACGCGAAGAACCUUACCUACUCUUGACAUCC